GUAGGGAGCAAGCGUUGUCCGGAUUUAUUGGGCGUAAAGAGCUCGUAGGUGGUUCGGUAAGUCAGGUGUGAAACCUCCAGGCUCAACCUGGAGACGCCACUUGAUACUGCUGUGACUGGAGUCCGGUAGGGGAGCGUGGAAUUCCUGGUGUAGCGGUGAAAUGCGCAGAUAUCGAGAGGAACACCGGCGGCGAAGGCGGCCAACUGGACGAAUACUGACGCUGAGACUCGAAAGCGUGGGGAGCAAACAGG
rnacentral:rRNA from 1 species